CAAUAUGAGCAUUCCGGAAUGAAUUCUGGCUUAACAGCCGGAGAAAGAAGCCAAGUCUGAUUUUUAAAAAAAAAAAAAUCUGAGGGCAAUUCAGGACAUUUAUGCCGCUUGCAUCGAGCAAGCAACAGAGCCUUUACAAAAUCCGUUUAUGUGGCAAUUCAUCAGUUAAAGCACAACCAGCGAAUGACACCU